rnacentral:rRNA from 1 species
GUACGGCGAGUGAGCGGCAAAAGCUCAAAUUUGAAAUCUGGUACCUUCGGUGCCCGAGUUGUAAUUUGGAGAGGGCAACUUUGGGGCCGUUCCUUGUCUAUGUUCCUUGGAACAGGACGUCAUAGAGGGUGAGAAUCCCGUGUGGCGAGGAGUGCGGUUCUUUGUAAAGUGCCCUCGAAGAGUCGAGUUGUUUGGGAAUGCAGCUCUAAGUGGGUGGUAAAUUCCAUCUAAAGCUAAAUAUUGGCGAGAGACCGAUAGCGAACAAGUACAGUGAUGGAAAGAUGAAAAGAACUUUGAAAAGAGAGUGAAAAAGUACGUGAAAUUGUUGAAAGGGAAGGGCAUUUGAUCAGACAUGGUGUUUUGUGCCCUCUGCUCCUUGUGGGUAGGGGAAUCUCGCAUUUCACUGGGCCAGCAUCAGUUUUGGUGGCAGGAUAAAUCCAUAGGAAUGUAGCUUGCCUCGGUAAGUAUUAUAGCCUG